rnacentral:ncRNA from 9 species
GCCUUGGUGGUGAAAUGGUGGUAGACACGCGAGACUCAAAAUCUCGUGCUAAACAGCGAGGAGGUUCGAGUCCUCUUCAAGGCA